rnacentral:rRNA from 1 species
UAGUAAUCGCAGAUCAGAAUGCUGCGGUGAAUGCGUUCCCGGGUCUUGUACACACCGCCCGUCACACCACGGAAGUUGGGGGCGCCCGAAGCCACUUAGCUAACCCUUUUGGGAAGCGAGUGUCGAAGGUGAAAUCAAUAACUGGGGUGAAGUCGUAACAAGGUAAC